GGUAUGGGAUGAGCUUGCGUCCGAUUAGCUAGUUGGCGGGGCAACGGCCCACCAGGGCGACGAUCGGUAGCCGGCCUGAGAGGGUGAUCGGCCACAUUGGGACUGAGAUACGGCCCAGACUCCUACGGGAGGCAGCAGUAGGGAAUAUUGCACAAUGGGGGAAACCCUGAUGCAGCAACGCCACGUGUGGGAAGAAGCAUUUCGGUGUGUAAACCACUGUCGUGAGGGAAUAAGGCAUUGUUUCGGCGAUGUUGAAUGUACCUCGAAAGGAAGCACCGGCAAACUUCGUGCCAGCAGCCGCGGUAAUACGAGGGGUGCAAGCGUUGUUCGGAAUCACUGGGCGUAAAGGGAGCGUAGGCGGAGAUGCAAGCGGACUGUACAAUACCGGGGCCCAACCCCGGACCUGCAGUUCGGACUGCACCUCUUGGAUAGUUCAGGGGCAGGC
rnacentral:rRNA from 1 species